GGGGAAUUUUGGACAAUGGGGGAAACCCUGAUCCAGCAAUGCCGCGUGUGCGAAGAAGGCCUUCGGGUUGUAAAGCACUUUUGUCAGGGAAGAAAUCCUUUGGGCUAAUACCCUAGGGGGAUGACGGUACCUGGAGAAUAAGCACCGGCUAACUACGUGCCAGCAGCCGCGGUAAUACGUAGGGUGCAAGCGUUAAUCGGAAUUACUGGGCGUAAAGCGUGCGCAGGCGGUUGUGUAAGACAGGUGUGAAAUCCCCGGGCUUAACCUGGGAAUUGCAUUUGUGACUGCACGACUAGAGUGUGUCAGAGGGGGGUGGAAUUCCACGUGUAGCAGUGAAAUGCGUAGAUAUGUGGAGGAACACCAAUGGCGAAGGCAGCCCCCUGGGAUAACACUGACGCUCAUGCACGAAAGCGUGGGGAGCAAAC
rnacentral:rRNA from 1 species